rnacentral:lncRNA from 1 species
CUUGUUUUCAGGGGAGUACAUGCCUGGAAUGUUAGCAAGCUAUUUGCUGGAAAAAAUGCCCACAACAGGCCUAAUGUUGAUCACAUUAAUGCGUUUGAGUGAGUAUGGAGUGCAAAUGAUUGAAAAUGCUUCCAGAUCCCCGUUGCAAGGGACAAAGCAGGCUCUGUUCUCUGAUCUGAUGGUCAUUUUUUUUUCCAGCGGAGGAUGUGGGGCAGGAAGAGGGAAGAGGGCCAAUCUCUGUCUAAUGGUUCCAAACAGGGCCCGGGCCCGGCCCUCUGGAUGCUGACGAGUGGGAAAUGAAACACAGAUGGGUCAGAUGGGUAAGGAGAGGGGGAUUACAGGUCAGGCCAAAGAGUUGGAAUAAAUUAAGUGCUUAUGAGGUACAGAAUGGCACAUUGUUUAAGUGAAUGGACAGGGAAAAAACAUUCCAGCAUUGUUCAUCUGCCGAGGGAGCCCAACGCUCCUCUUCCCAGACGAGCCCAGGCCACAGAGCGCCUCCUCCUCGCCAGGAUGUUUGUGACCCACAGACUGAAAACGCGGCCAGGCGGUGCCCGAAACAUUCUCCCAGCCUCCAAAGAGGCCAGUUUGGCUUUAUUACACGGGAGAUGUAAUUUAUUGGGAGAAAUGUUUGGGUUCGUGUGUCGGAUGGUGGAGAGUCAGAUUUGGAGUUCCCUAGGGAUCUCCGAGGAGAAGAAGCAGAUGUUCACAAAGCAACUGACCAGGCCAGGUGUGUCCUUCAAGGCUACCUGCAUUCAACAGAGGCGACCACAGCCCAGACCCAUCCUUCUUGGGAGAGUUUCAAGAUGCUCCACAUAGUGGUGCCUAGCGCUCUGUGCACUCAGAGGCUAGAAGAAAAGAUACAGAGGUCCUCUUUCAAGGAGAGGCCCUGACGUUUCUAUUCUUACAAGGAUUCUUUGGUAAUAAAUACAGUGAAAACACCGUCA